AGAUGAGGUAGAGGUUGCGGAAGUGAUGAGUAAGACGUGAUGAGGCGUAAGAGCCGCCUAUGAUUCACGACUGAAAGGCGCCUUCCGCCGAAGUGUGAAGAUCUGCUCAGAUGAUCUCCAUGCUGGGUCUGUUGCCGAAAGGAGCAGAACUGUCGCGACUUUUUCUCUUGAAGAAGUCGUGUUGAGCUAUCUUUCAU
rnacentral:ncRNA from 2 species